GGCGGCCGUGCUUAACACAUGCAAGUCGAACGGGCUGAAGUGGUAGCUUGCUAUUAUGGAUGCUAGUGGCAAACGGGUGAGUAACGCGUAGGCAACCUGCCCUUCAGAUGGGGACAACACUUCGAAAGAGGUGCUAAUACCGAAUGACGUAUCCAUUCCGCAUGGAGAGGAUACCCAAAGGCCGGGCAACCGGUCACUGAAGGAUGGGCCUGCGUCUGAUUAGCUGGUUGGUGGGGGUAACGGCCCACCAAGGCGACGAUCAGUAGCCGGUCUGAGAGGAUGAACGGCCACAUUGGGACUGAGACACGGCCCAAACUCCUACGGGAGGCAGCAGUGGGGAAUCUUCCGCAAUGGGCGCAAGCCUGACGGAGCAACGUCGCGUGAGUGAAGAAGGUUUUCGGAUCGUAAAGCUCUGUUGAGAGGGACGAGAGGCAAGGCUAGGAAAUGAGCUUUGUAGGACGGUACCUUUCGAGGAAGCCACGGCUAACUACGUG
rnacentral:rRNA from 1 species